rnacentral:sRNA from 1 species
GACAUGGUGGAGAUCAGCUUGUCCUAA